UGCACAGUCAUUGGUUGGAAGAUCUAAAGCUGCUUGCAUCACAGGCCAGAAUUGCAAAGAACACUUUUCUGCUGAGCAAUUGUUCAACUGCGAGAAGAAAGGAGUAGCAAAUAUUGCUGAAUUGGAAAAGUAAUUAAUGCACAGUCUGACACUUCAAAUUCUCUAUAUAAGACAACCACAGCAGUUGUUAAUAUUGGCCAUCAAACUUAAGAUAAUUUGGAAGAGUGUACCUCAACUGAAGAAUUGCUUCCAUCAGAUUUACCUGUGGGACAAUUUUCUUGACUACUACUUUAUUUAGGAGGACCAAGCCCACUGUGGGAGGUACCAUUCUUAGGCAGGAUUGCAAGCUUGUACAACCACUCUGGAAAUCAGUCUGGC